rnacentral:tRNA from 1 species
CCGUGGACUGGAUGGCGGACAACCCGGAUCUGCGGGAUCUGGCGGCCCGCACUCCCGAUCGCAUCGGGUUGCACCGGC